GGAUUAGAUUUCGGAGUAGCAUCCAGUAGCCAUGUCACUUUUGUGGCACAUCUUGAAAAGCCACAUGUUUCUUAUCUUUGUCGACUUCUGUCACUGCAAGACUUCAUCUCACGAUACUUCUGCGAUUUCCCGACAUCAAGCGCGAAGCCAGUCUUCCCUGCCGAGCUGACAUCGCUCCUCCCUCAGCGCACAUUACUUCAACACCUGUCGCAGUCUUCAACACUUUCUGCAGUUGCCUGACGCCAGCAACAUCGAUCAACACUGCCCUGCCAGUACCUCAAGAAACAGACGCCCCCGUGCUGAAGCCACUGCUGACCUUGACUCUCGGAUCACCACGUCGCUGCCCUCGCGGCCGAUCCCUGGCGCGCCAAGACUAGCUCGCCCCGGACGUUCUCGCUCCCGCAUCACCUGCCGACGCCCUUCUGUUCUCUACUGCACGUCGCCUGACGUCCUCGCCGCAUCUCGUCGCAUCUCGCCUCACUCACCACAUCAGCUGCCCUGUGCUGGUGACCCUGUCAAGAAUGGACCUGCAUUGCCUGUCGAACCUCGUGACGCCAUCACCAUGGUGCUCUUCCUCUCCCGAGAUGACAAAUCCUUUCCGCCCACGACGUGAUCCUGAUCCUUCGAAGGCCUCGUUCUCAAGAUUCUCCUCUCAAUCUUCGUUCCAUUAACAACAACUUGCCCCAGAAUCAUUUACGAUGGACACGGCGCUUGACUGUCUUCAAACUGUGGAACGAUUGACAAACUCUGUGACCGAUCACCACUGCUGCUCCCGUCCAGACCACCUGCGCGACAUUCCCUCUUGCUUAUCUACAAGAUACGAGACUCCCUGUGUCACUUGCCUCCGUCACCUGUCUCCUGUUAUCCACCUGCAUCGUUUACCCCAGAAUCCCGGACGAUACUUUUUUAGGUGACCCAGCGAAAUAGUGACCUGUUCUCGUGAUCUCUCUCUCCUCACAUACCAGAAAAGCCACGUGUUUCGUAUCUUACGGUAACUCCAUUGUCCUCAGCCAACUUCAACAGGUCUACAGCCGUGACAAUAACGAAGUGACCUUAUAACAAUUCAACAAUUCAACCCUAAUUGCUCGUAAGCAAUUCCUAUGCUGUUAUUCUGAUGUCUUUGUGUAUAAUUAUGUCUUGUUUAUACUCAAAAUAUCAGUUAGAAAAUGCCUCUGCCUUGCCUGCCCUCUGUACACCAGCUACCAUACUCCUGCAGAAAUAAACUGUAGAAACAG